CACCUAACCCAAACCACAAGGCAGUAGGUCUUCCUCUUCCUCCUCUUCCCUGCUCCCUGAUCCCCAAUCAGCCGCCGCCGACCUCGUCUCCACCAGCCCCAUUGCCGGCCUCUGCCUCCGUCUUCGCCCUCUAUCCCACCGCCGGCGCCCCUCUCCCCUCCCCUCCUCCCUUCUCCUUCUCUCCAUUAUACGCCCCAGAUCCACUCCAGCACCUCUCCUCCUUCCUUGAACGGCAGAGGAAGACCUGCUGUCCUUCCACGGCAACGGUGCACAGGCAGAGGAGCACCACCGCGCCAUCCUCCUUCCACCCUGAGUCGUCGCGUCCAACCUACACUCUUCCCCCUCCUUCUGUUCAUCCUCGCUCCCGAUACCCUAGGUCGCGGCCAUGGCGACCGAGCUCGGGCCCCCACUCAUCCAAAAGCUCGACAAGGUAUGGCGUGAAUCCCUCCUCCCCUUCUCUCUCUCUCUCUCUCUCUCUCUCUCUCUCUCUCUCUCUCUCUCUGACCAGGACGACGCCACAGCCAAAGCUCGAGUCUGCUCCUUCUCCACAGUCGCGCGCCGGGAGAGGUUCAGGUUCUGCAUGGCUGCUCUGACCCUGCUAUCUCCGACGCCAUGGAAGGUCCUCUCCUUCUCUCUCGCCCAUCUCCACUCUCUGUUCGAUUCCGUGUUGCUCUUGGCCGAUUCAGAUCUUUUUUCUCUCUCUUUCCGAUUUAAACAAGCUGCGGCUUAUCAUGGCUGCGAUUAGGUAGGGGUUAUUGUAGAACAGCCCAAGAUUGCUAUUUGCUGCGUGGAUUCAUAAAUGUAAUUGUUUGGUUGCAAAGUCCAGUAUUUUUUUAGCAUUUUCCGUGGUUUCUAAAACAACCUAGGUAUUAAAUACUUUCAAGUGUUUGGAUGGAAGGAAUACUGCAGUUGAAGAAGCUGUGGUAUUUCAGACACUGUGGUAAUUUUGGAGUAUCAAAACAACAACUAACCCUGAACUCUUUAUUUUUAACCGGGCCCUGUGGUUUGAUUUGUUAUACAGUUUUCAUCCAAUUGAAUUUGGGUCUGCAUAGCCAGGGUUUGUCUGUCUGCCUGCCCGCCGACCUGGCCGACAUACACAACCCAUGGUGUCGAACAUGUCGCGUCAGUUCACUGAGCUGUGUACAUUCGAAUCGGUGAUGUUUCUGCGAAGAGUGAGAACUUGUAGAGCAGCGGCGAGCAAUCUCUUUGUUUUCCCUUGUCGUGUUCUAUUUCUUGUGGAGCAGCUUGGAAGGUUCUCUCCCUCUCUCUCGCUCAUCUGCGCUCUCUAUUCGGCUCCGUGUUGCUCUUGGCAGAUUCAGAUUUUUUUUCUCUCUCCCUCUUUCCGAUUUAAACAAGAUGGAGCUUAUAGUGGCUACGGUUAGGAGUAAUUGCGGAACAUCCCAAAAUUGCUAUUUGCUUCUUGCAUUCAUAAAUGGAAUUGUUUGGUUGCAAAGUACAGUAUUUUUUUUGUAUUCUGGGGAUACCGUGGUUUCUAAAAGAACCUAAGGGUAUUGAAUACUUUCAAGUGAUUGGAUGGAAAGAAUACUGCAGGUUAAGAUGUGGUAUUUCAGAAACUGUGGUAAUUUUGGAGUAUUCAAACAACAACCCUGAACUCUUUAUUUUUAACCGAGUCUUGUGGUUUGAUCUGUUAUACAGAUUUCAUCCGAUUGAAUUUUGGUCUGCAUAGCUAGGGUUUUUCUGUCUGCCUGCCCGCUGACCUGAUCGAAGCAAUACUGUAGUUUAAGAAUGUCUGGUAUUUCAAAUACUGUUGUAAUUUUGGAGUAUUAAAACAACAAUCCUGUGGAGAAAAAACAUUGUCUUGUAUCCUCCAUGGCCAGCCGUUUUCUUCAUCUCAUUGCCUCUUCUCUAGCCAACAAUCCGUCUCCACAAUCAUGUAGAAACCAAGCAAUGGUGUUGAACGAAAGGAACCUUUGUGGUUUGAUUUCUUAUACAUAUUUCAUCCUAUUGAAUUGGGUCUGCAUAGCUAGGGUUUCUCUGUACGCCUGCGCGUUGACCGGGUCGACAUACACAAUGCCCAUGGUGUCUGACAUGUCGCCAUCAGUUUACUGAGCGCGUGAAUUUGAAUCGGUGAGUGAGAACUUGUAGAGCAGCGGCGAGCCAUCCUUUUGUUUUCCCUUGACGUGUUCUGUUUCUUGUAAAGCAGCUUGUAGCUGCAGCACGACCAGCAAUGGUCUGGCGCGUGGUGGCCGGAGGCCAAGUAACCUCAAUGGAUUGUGAUGUGUACGUCCAGCAUACAAGCUACAAAUUAUGUCUCUCAGUUCCAUAGGCAUAUGUAAGUGUGCGCCUGGUGCUCUGAGCCCUAUAAGGUUGACAGCGGCAACCAGGCGUCCUGAAUUCGGACGCCAAGCUGGAUGGAUCACACCGGAGGUCUCUUCCUCAGUCAUUUGGUGUGCUUUGCUACAGCUGGAAGAGAUCGACGAACUGAAGCCACCGGGAGAUCUAUAGAAGUAACCCAGAAAGAGUUGUGCAGAUCUUCGAGAGCCAGCCUUCGUUGCAUAACAACUCUCCCACUAUGAGAAGGCUCUUGUCACUCUUGCCAAUGCUGCAAAAUACCAUAGAAUAUGUAUAUUGUGGUAUUUCGUGCCUACAGGUUCUAGUACUGUUGUUUCUGAAUACUAUUGUUUUCUAAAUACUGUGCAUCUAAACACAGCCUUGUUUGCUUUUACUGAAUGCUUUAUGGGCGAGAUUCUAUAUCCUUCCGUUGUUAAUCGAAUUAGGUGUUCUCCCCAUCCUGCAUUUCUUGGUAGCAAAUUGCAGCAGGAGAAUGAAUAAUGUUAAUACAUUUUGCAACUCUCCUAGCUUCAUUACUGUACAGAAUGGACUUGGGUCCCAUACAGAUGAAAUAUGACAAUCACACUCGAUGUUUGUAGGUCUCUCAGUUCCAUAGGCAUAUGUAAGUGUGCGCCUGGUGCUCUGAGCCCUAUAAGGUUGACAGCGGCAACCAGGCGUCCUGAAUUCGGACGCCAAGCUGGAUGGAUCACACCGGAGGUCUCUUCCUCAGUCAUUUGGUGUGCUUUGCUACAGCUGGAAGAGAUCGACGAACUGAAGCCACCGGGAGAUCUAUAGAAGUAACCCAGAAAGAGUUGUGCAGAUCUUCGAGAGCCAGCCUUCGUUGCAUAACAACUCUCCCACUAUGAGAAGGCUCUUGUCACUCUCGACAGGCUGGAUGAAAGCCCUCGCUUAAAACAUUGUAGAGAGGAAUUGCUAAUUCGGCAAGGGAUGGAGAAGGGAAUAGUGGCAUCACAUCAUUUCAAAGUGUUGGACGUACGUAUGCCAAAAGAUGGGGCUCUUGGUAGAGCAAAGCGUAUACGGGGCAAUGGACGCCUGCGUGGCGGCAUUUGAGACUGAGUGGGCUGCAAGACCACAACUGGGUCCCAUGUAAGUGCGCCUCUGGUGCCCUAAGCCAUACAAGGUAGACAACGGUGACCACGUGUCAUGAAGGCGGACACCAAGCUGGAUGUAUCACACCAUGGUACUCUUCCUCAGUAAUUUGGUGUGCUUUGCUACAGCUGGAAGAGAUAGAUCCGUUGGAGCCAGGGGGAGAUAUACAGAAGUAACCCAGAAAGAGUCAUGCAGAUCUUUGAGAGCGAGCCUUCGCUGCAUAACAACUAUCCCAGUAUGUGAAGGGUCUUGUCACUCUCGAGAGGCUAGAUGACAGCCCGCUGCCUAAAACAUUGCAGACAGAUCAAAACACGCAAGAAUUGCUAAUUCGGCAAGGGGUGGAGAAGGGCAUAGUGGCAUCUCAGUAUUUCAAAGUGUUGGACGUAUGCCAAAAGAUGGGGCUCUAGGUAUAGCAAGGCGUAUACGGGGCAAUGGACGCUGGCGUGGCGGCGUUCGAGACCGAGUGGGCAAAAAGACCACAACUGGAUGUGAAGCAUGACAGCGACGGUGGUGGGCCGGCUUGCUUCCAGCGCCAAUGACGCGGUGGGGUUGUCGUCCCGUAACACAACGCCGGCUCCCAUGACUGACUCGGCUAGCACUGCUUAGAUGUGAAGCAUGACGGUGACAGUGGUGCGCCUCCUUGCUUCUGGCCCCGAUGAGAUAGCGGGGUUGACGCCCUGUAACCUUGGCGUCGCCUCCCACGACUGUCUCAUCUAUCACCACUAGGCCAGGCCACUACAGGAGAGGUGUGUCGAUGACCCGUGACUAUUCCGACUCACUUGAAGGACGGACUGGUGAACCCGCAUCAUCGGUGAUGAGUACUAGCUUAGAUUCAUCAGCUUACUUACCGGUGUAGGUGAAGGUGAAGCUAUUCUUGUCAGGUCAGCAACCACUGCUAGAGGGAUCAGAAUGGUGUGUUGGACUGGAGCUCCAUCGCCACUCAAAAUCGCGAGCGGCUGUGCAUGAGCAGACUGUCGUCAAGGGCCUGGAAGGAGAUGCUUCCUCCGUCUGUUGCUGCUCGGGCAUGGAGCUUCCAAGCCUAUCAGGAAGGAUGAAGGGCUAAGAUCUACCCUCUGGAAGGAAAGAGGAAGAGGCCACGGGCGACAGAGAAAUCCCCCAUCCUCGGCUGCUCUUCCAAGUCUGAAGGUUGAGAGCCUGAUGGACAAGAGCGAGCUGGAUGCUCAGCCAGAGCUAUUCAUCCACAAUGUCCCUCACAAGGAGGUUUGAGAGCCUGACGGACAAGAGCGAGCUGGAUGCUCAGCCAGAGCUAUUCAUCCACAAUGUCCCUCACAAGGCCAUGACCACACUCACGAAUAUGAACAGUGGUAUUUGUAUGUCCAAGUCAUACCUCGUGAACAACCUUGGUACCAUUGCAAGGUCUGGCACGAGGUAUUUCAUGGAGGCCCUAGCUGUUGGUGUGUGGUGUCCAUGAUUCGUCAGUUUGGUGUCGGUUCUACUAUGCUUACCUUGUUGCUGAGAGAGUUGUUGCGACCAGCAAGCACAACGACAAUGAGCACUAUGUUUGGGAGUCCCAGACUAGUGGCUUCUUCACUGUGAUAUGUGAUACUGCUGGAGAGCCCCUUUGGAGGGGUACUAACAUCAACCUCUACCUCAAGGACGAUCAGGCGUUGGAUAAGAUCAGGUUUGAGAGCCUGACUGACAAGUGCAAGCGAUGCUCCCAUGUCCGUGAUGCGACACCUCCGGCUCGGCAUCACGGCCGGCGGGCACGGGCUUGUCAAGAGCAUGCUCCAAAACCGCGGCUUUGAGCUGGCCACUGCCAAGGAAGGGCUCCCGGUGCGCCGGUGCUCGCGCGGCGGAUGGCAGCCUAGGAGGAGGAAGGGUACGUCUGCUGCUUCCUCUUCCUUGUUCUACGCACAGUACAGGGCUAAUAUUGGAGAAGAGAUAUGUUGGUUGAACACCAAAGAUGUUGACUAUCCCCUGAAGCUUCUGUGGAUUCACAUCGACAUGAUACUCUACUGCUCUCUAAAGAUCUUAUGUUUUAGCUUCCUAGGCUGGGAUACAUCAUUAUACAUCUUCUGUGGGUCGUGAAGCUAAGGAGAGCUGAUCUAAUUCUUACAUGGUCCCAGUCGAAUACUGUAAGUGGUUCAAAGGCGUCAACAUUUGCACACGUGUCAACCGACAAGAACAUGAAAUAGACCGUCCUGGCGGGCACCCUCUCCAGCCUGCGCGCCCAGGGCUGGUACCUCCUGUCAAAGCCAACAAGAUGGGAGGUCGUUAACUAAUUGGGUUCUAUGGACGUCGGGGCUCGCAGACCAAGGACCGAUUUGGAGCUCCUCUCUGCAACCGCAGGAGAUCAUAGGUGAAGGGGCAAAACCCUUGAAGUCGUCGUUUGUUGCACGCAGAGGACUCGAUAUGCUCAAGAGCCAUGUGGAGAUUGUUGUCAAGUUGAAGUGGCUCAACAUUUAGACCAUCUAGUAAGUCAUACACUACAUGGUGUGAUGAUCUACACAUGGGAGUACAUCACUAGCGAGUCGGCGCCCCUGCCCUGCCCCUCUCGUGGGCGCUUCUUCUUUGACUCCGGCAUAGGACAACAUUGCUAAAGGGAAAGAAGAAAACCUGGAAGUUAUGGUUGUUGCAGGCUGAUGGAAGUCAAAAUGCUCAAGAGCCAAACGUGGGAACUGUUGUCACGUUGAAGUGGCUCGACAUUUAGGCCAUCCAGUAAGAGUACAUCACCAGCGAGUCGGUGCCCCCGGCCUGCCCCUCUAGUGGGUGCUUCUUAUUUGACUCCGACAUAGAGAUCAUUGCUAAAGGGGGAAAGAACAACCUGUAAGUCAUGGUUGCUGCAAGGCCGAGGGAACUCGAAAUGCUCAAGAACCACGUGGGCGCAUGAUCGAGUAGAAGAAGUGCUACAUAAAGGCCAUGGACAUGCUUUAAAAACCAGGCAGCACCGCGAUUGCUGAACUAGUAGAGCUUGGCCGCCGACAAAUAUCAGAGUAUAUGAGGUGCAUCUUGAACAGUGCAUGGAGAUCAUUGCUGAAGGGAAAUAAGAGAACCUGCAAGUCGUGGUUGUUACAGGCCGAGGGUAGUCCAUAUGCUCAAGAGCCAAACGUGGGAUUGUUGUCAAGUUGAAGUGGCUCAACAUUUAGAGAGUUUUAGACCAUCCAGCAAGUUGUAGACUGCGCGGUGUGAAGAUCUGGGCUGUUUAGGAAGAAAAUUUGAGGGAAGUCCCUAAUUAAUUGGUCAAUGGCACAAGUGAAGUUAACUGUGAACUUGUGCUAAUGUAGUGUAAAGUUUCCGAUUGGUUAUACAUUUUUUGCCCCUCCGCGGAGCUCUUCUGUUCAUGCUUGGGAUGGUACAUAUGGUUCUGGAUUUUUGCCUUUUCAUUUUUAUCUUGUAAUGGAUAUGUGAAAAAAUCAAUCUGGCCAUCAGUCAAGCAACCUUCAUCAGUGAAGUGUAGGGAGAUGAGAUGAAAUGCUUGGUUUCAAAAUAAAGAUGUCAGAGUUUGGCGCAUAUA